rnacentral:snRNA from 1 species
UAACUCUUGUUUCUCUCAGAUCGUACAAUCUUCGCCUUUUACUAAAGAUUUCCGUGGAGAGGAACAACAAGAGUAUAUCCCAAUUUUGUUGCCCUGCUUUAGUGGGGC